UACGGAGGGAGCUAGCGUUGUUCGGAAUUACUGGGCGUAAAGCGCACGUAGGCGGCUUUGUAAGUUAGAGGUGAAAGCCUGGGGCUCAACCCCAGAAUUGCCUUUAAGACUGCAUCGCUUGAAUCCAGGAGAGGUCAGUGGAAUUCCGAGUGUAGAGGUGAAAUUCGUAGAUAUUCGGAAGAACACCAGUGGCGAAGGCGGCUGACUGGACAUGUAUUGACGCUGAGGUGCGAAAGCGUGGGGAGCAAACAGG
rnacentral:rRNA from 1 species